GGAAUUCUUACAAAUGUAAGAUGGACCGGUUCGGGAAACCAGCAGGACGUACGGACUGAUCCUGGUGGAACGUCUUUCUGAGGGAGAGCUUCCCUGCUUUUGAACAGCGACGCUGAAAGAUACGGUGAACACGGCCGGGUUUUUUGGACGACGUGGUUCUCUCCACCCUCUAGGAAAUCUGUAAGUCAAAUGAUUGUUUUAUUAAACACGCGCGCUCGCGCAUUAAGGAAAUACGUGCCAUAAGGGAAAGAACCUUACCCAAUUGACUCAGGUCGAUAAAGUCUGUGAGUUUAAAAAUGAAGAAAUACUUGCGGUUAAAAAUUAUAUAAAGGUUAAAAUAAAAUAAAUCUUACCAUCAAAGAAGUUAUCUGUUUGAUUGCGGUGAACAUCGGCUUGAGUUUCUUUAAAAAAAGAAAAAACAUGCUUUGCUUAAAAAUGUUUCAAAUCAGUUGGAUUUUCAGUCAGAAGGAAAUGCAUUUUUUAACAACAUCUGUACACAUAGUGUGUGAUAGGGUUCGCUAGAAAAAAACAUACUCUUCCUAUUCGCCAGGUGGGGAUCUAGAGUCAUUUAACCGUCAAAGAAAAUACAUACUACUCCAAUUCGAUAGAUGGCGAUCUCGAGUCUUUUUUAACCGUCGAAGAAGAGGAUGUGACGUCAUGAUUUACCGCGUGAUUCAAAGUGGCUGCACUGUGGUUCACAGGACGGGAGGAAAAAGAAAGAAAAAUGAUCAAAACUUACCGACGGGUUCCCUUUACCCCUUCUUCGGAGCAGCCUCCGUUGUUGGAACCCGAUCCUGAAGCUCCGAGUCAGCGUGUUUCUCCGGACCCGUCGGGCCCUCGCUUCGGCUUUCGCCGGCCUGGACCCCGGAGAUUGGCUGUGGAUUACCCGGAGCCGCACGCUCGUUGACGGGUUGCAGGAUGGUCUGAGGCUAGGGGUUAGGCUGAGUCUGAGACGCCUUCUGUUUGUUUGGUUGGAAAGCUCGGGGUAGGUCGCUGCUGCUGCUGCUGUUGCUGCUGGAGCAUCUGAGUUUGACCGACGGCUUCCCGCGGUCCCCCGGUGAUGGCGGCUGCUGCGGCCGAGUUAGGUCUGAAGUCCCCCGCUGGAGCCUUGGAGCGGUUCGGGAAACCAGGAGGACGCACGGACUGAUCCUGGUGGGAUGUCUUUCUGAGGGAGAGCUUCCCCUGCUUCGGAGCAGCGCCGCUCAGAGGUCCGGUGAAGACGGCCGGGUUUUUCUGGACCCCGCGGUUCUGAGUUUCAACUUCCCCCAGGAAUUCUACGCUUCUCCAUCAGAAGGUCCACAGGUGUCGGAACGAUCGGCUAUUCCUAGGAAGAGACGACGGGCUUCUUCCUUUCCCGCAAGCUAAGAUCAUUAAGGAGAAGACCCGUUGGUGUUCGCGCCCCUUAGGAAACGGACGGCGGGAUCUCCUUUCUGCUUCCUUUCUCGCCACUAUUGGGUGUCGGAAGGCAUCAAAAGCAGAACCGAAAUAAAGUCUACUUAAGGAA